rnacentral:rRNA from 1 species
CGGACGGGUGAGUAAUGUAUGGGGAUCUGCCCGAUGGAGGGGGAUAACUACUGGAACGGUAGCUAAUACCGCAUAACGUCGCAAGACCAAAGAGGGGGACCUUAGGGCCUCUUGCCAUCGGAUGUGCCCAGAUGGGAUUAGCUAGUAGGUGGGGUAAUGGCUCACCUAGGCGACGAUCCCUAGCUGGUCUGAGAGGAUGACCAGCCACACUGGAACUGAGACACGGUCCAG